AUUCAGUGAUGAGGGCACUUCUGUAAUAAUUUUUUGUACCUUUCUCAUGCCUCAUACAAGUACUCAUCAUCCACUUGUUGAAAAGCAGUGAUCUUGUUGCUCAACUU
rfam:Gossypium raimondii Chr10_contig_559, whole genome shotgun sequence.